GAAAUAAGCAGGCCGAAGCUUCUCGUGAGAAGCGCGGGGGAUCCCAGUUCUUGGGGUGAAGCCAUUGUCAUAUGGCCGGGCGAUUGCUCUUUGACCCGAACCCGUCAGCUAACCUCGUAGGCCGUAAUAAAGAGAGGAUGU
rnacentral:sRNA from 2 species